rnacentral:rRNA from 1 species
GAUGAACGCUAGCGGCAGGCCUAAUACAUGCAAGUCGAACGGUGUCUUCGGACAUAGUGGCGCACGGGUGCGUAACACGUAUGCAACCUACCUUACAUUGGGGGAUAGCCUUUCGAAAGGGAGAUUAAUACCGCAUAAGACAGUAGCUGGGCAUCCAGCAGCUGUUAAAGAUUUAUCGAUGUAAGCUGGGCAUGCGUCCAAUUAGCUAGUUGGUGAGGUAACGGCUCACCAAGGCAAUGAUUGGUAGGGGAACUGAGAGGUCAAUCCCCCACACUGGCACUGAGAUACGGGCCAGACUCCUACGGGAGGCAGCAGUAGGGAAUAUUGGGCAAUGGACGCAAGUCUGACCAGCCAUGCCGCGUGCAGGAUGAAGGCGUUAUGCGUUGCAAACUGCUUUUAUACAGGAAGAAACGACUCUUGCGAGAGGCAUUGACGGUACUGUAUGAAUAAGCACCGGCUAACUCCGUGCCAGCCGCCGCAGUAAUAC